GGUGUUUAGAGUGAUUCUGCUGUUGUGGCUGCUGAUGCUGUUGUUGUUGCAUUUGUUGCCUCUGCAUCUGAUACAGAGUUUGUAACCUUAGCAGCCUAUAUGUGGAGAAGGAUCCUCAUUAGCUUCAGAAGUCAUGUCUCGGUCGCGUAUUCAGCUGCUCCUACGUACGCAAAAGUGUCGCUAGCUGAACGGCGAUGACCUUUGUGUACAGCUACUGUUUCUGCCGGUUCAUUCAAAAGGUCAUC